rnacentral:rRNA from 1 species
AGUGAACGCUGGCGGUAGGCCUAACACAUGCAAGUCGAACGGCAGCACAGUAAGAGCUUGCUCUUACGGGUGGCGAGUGGCGGACGGGUGAGGAAUACAUCGGAAUCUACUUUUUCGUGGGGGAUAACGUAGGGAAACUUACGCUAAUACCGCAUACGAUCUACGGGUGAAAGCAGGGGAUCUUCGGACCUUGCGCGAUUGAAUGAGCCGAUGCCGGAUUAGCUAGUUGGCGGGGUAAAGGCCCACCAAGGCAACGAUCCGUAGCUGGUCUGAGAGGAUGAUCAGCCACACUGGAACUGAGACACGGUCCAGACUCCUACGGGAGGCAGCAGUGGGGAAUAUUGGACAAUGGGCGCAAGCCUGAUCCAGCCAUACCGCGUGAGUGAAGAAGGCCUUCGGGUUGUAAAGCCCUUUUGUUGGGAAAGAAAAGCAGCAGGUUAAUACCCCGCUGUUCUGACGGUACCCAAAGAAUAAGCACCGGCUAACUUCGUG